UGGGGAAUAUUGCACAAUGGGCGCAAACCUGAUGCAGCCAUGCCGCGUGUAUGAAGAAGGCCUUCGGGUUGUAAAGUACUUUCAGCGGGGAGGAAGGGAGUAAAGUUAAUACCUUUGCUCAUUGACGUUACCCGCAGAAGAAGCACCGGCUAACUCCGUGCCAGCAGCCGCGGUAAUACGGAGGGUGCAAGCGUUAAUCGGAAUUACUGGGCGUAAAGCGCACGCAGGCGGUUUGUUAAGUCAGAUGUGAAAUCCCCGGGCUCAACCUGGGAACUGCAUCUGAUACUGGCAAGCUUGAGUCUCGUAGAGGGGGGUAGAAUUCCAGGUGUAGCGGUGAAAUGCGUAGAGAUCUGGAGGAAUACCGGUGGCGAAGGCGGCCCCCUGGACGAAGACUGACGCUCAGGUGCGAAAGCGUGGGGAGCAAACAGG
rnacentral:rRNA from 1 species